ensembl:lncRNA
UAUCUGGAGAUCACUCUUCUUGGAGUCCUUGUGUGAGACCAGGAUGUGGGAAGUCAAAUACAAGAAGAGCAGCAGAGUCUUGAAGAUCAUUUGGCUGUUUUCCCCAUGCUAGUCCUCACCAAAGGAAAAAUUAACUUCAAGAAGUUAGAUGCAAUGCAUGACAACAACUGGGAUGGAGCCAAGGCAAAUGUUCUAGGCAUAUUGCCUGGAUAUAUUCAGAUUUCAAGGAGGUAGUGUCAACUUCAGCUUCAAAUUUAGGAAAGAAUUCUUCAGUAUACAGAAAUAGAAGUAAAUAGAGAACACCAGAAUCAACUCUGGUUCUGCAGAGAAGUUCCAUGGUAGUGAAAUGGCUCUGUCACUUCCUGCAUUCUUCACACUUUUGUUAUUAAAGUGUUCUGCCUCCCAAGAAUCAUUUGCUGAAGGAUGAGAUACAUACUGUGCCUCUCAGUAUAUAUGAGAGGAUGGUUUUAAUUGAUAUUUCUUGGAACAAAGCUUUGCUUUAAGAAAAAAUAUGAACGGAUUAGUCAGAGUACCAGUGGAUUGUCUUCAUGAGGUGCUUCAAGAAAUCAACUAAUUAUAAGCUGAACACAACAUAAGUCAUCUUGUUAUGUGUGUUAAGAGCUUUGGGAUCAAAUACUCCAUACUAUACCUUAAUACGUUUUAAACUCCUGGCGACAAACAGAUGGAGUGUUGUGUUCAGUGCAUUUCUUCAGAGUUUCUAAAUCUGCCUGAUGGGAAUUCCGUUACCUGCACCAGCUGUACAUCUGACCUCUUUGACUUCUACUUGCCAGGCUCAGAAUAAAUGAGGCAGCACUGGCUUGUAUUUAAAAUAAAGUAUAUGUAAAUAUGGACAUAUCUGACAUGUUGCUGCAGCGCCUAUUUAAAAUGUGUGCUCUCUGGUAUAACCCUUGUACCCAUAACUAUAAAGUCUUUCAAACUGUCUAUCAAUAAAAUAUUUUUAUGUCUU